CGCGUGCGCGAACGUGCAUUAUAGCUCCGCCCCUGCACGGACUCGGGCCCCGAGGCCACCACGCAUGCGCGCCAGUCCGGCUCCGCCUCCGGGCGGGGUUUAGGCCUUGGCAGCCGGCGCAGCGCUUGCGCAUGCGCCCGCUCUUCGCGCACUUGGCCGUCUAGCGUCUAGUGCGGCUCGGUAGUGGGCAGAUCGGUGCUCCGACCCCAGCCAGUGUGAGGGAGGCGAGAGCCCCCCUCCUGGCCCGUCUUCUUUUAUCCUGUUCUAAUGCCUUUGGUCAAAACGCGUGCCCCAAGGGCUCCGCCAGCUUGCCGCGUUUGUUUCCCAUUCUCUGAGCCUCCUGAACUACGUGGCUGUUUCCAGCUUGGUGGAUGUUAGGAGUAAGCGGUUCCUUGUGCUUGCCACAGGACGGGGGAGUGCUGAGCUGGGUUGUGUAAAGUCCUGCAUUCUUUGGGGCCAGGUCACUAAAAUUAGAGACCUUCCCUAGGCGCAGAGCCAAGCCACAGCCACAAUAAAAGUGGUAGAAAGAGAAUGAGUAGGAAAGAAAGACUCUUGGGAAGAAGUGCACCCCAAGACCUGCGGGCGGGCAGGUGGCUGGGGAGCAACUGCGACCGCAACUGGCCAGGUGUCAUUUUAUCACGGUGGACUGAGCGUUUCACAGCGGGAGGUCUCAGGACCCACGCCUUUGGUUGAAUUCCCGGGCUUUCUCCCCACGUGGGCGUCUCCCUCGCAGGUGACUCUGGGUCUGCGGUGACCUCACCGCGCAUGCCCAGUGUGCACCGCGAUGGCAGGAGCAUCCCUGUUAGGGCGAACCGCCGGAUCAGUUUAUUCCCAGUGGGAAUCGGAUGUUGAUGAAACGUCUGGCUGGGUCUUUGUAUUGACCAGGAAUGAUAAGAGGGAAAUGUACAAUCAUCCCUGUGUGUCUCCCUCAGGCACCGAGGAAGAAAACGGUAUUUGCCUCACCUUCCCGGGGCCAGGAGCUGGGUGGGAAGAAGUCUCAUGGAGGCUCCGGUUGGAACUCCUGUUUGCACAAUAAGCAUAUGUCAGGAAAAAACAAGUUAAUUUAAAAAUCAAGAGACUGAAAACAGACGGACAUGGCCAGACCACGUGUGACGCCAACACUCUGACCCUCAGUCUCCGCAGACUCAGGACAGGAGCCAGGGCACAAGCUCUGCAGCGGUCGGCGGAGACCGUGAGCGCCUGGCCAAUGAUGGCUGCCUCCCUGUUUUUUUGCACCGCCCUUUCCAUCAGCGAACCAACCAGAGGAAGCCAAAUAAGAUUCCCUAAGCCAAUCACGUAAGAGUCUGCUCGCCUCAGCUUCUUCCAGCCAGUCGCCUUCCAGCAGAGCGCCCCGCCCUGGUCCCCCGCAGGGGCCGGCGUGUGCUCGUCCUCGCUUUGGGCCCAGGACGCUCGCGCUCCCGCAGAGCGGAGUGAAAGCGUCGGGUGAGGAGCCGCUGGAUUCGGAGCCCUGCGGAAGGCCACACCGACAUUCCAGUACUCCAAAGAACUUAGACACGUUGCUGUUCUACUCUUUUGUAUUUUCCUUUCUGCAAUAAACAUGUAACCAUCAGAAAUGUAUACAUUUUUUGUUGGAAAUUACGAAUAUAAUUUCCUGAAUGACUUGGCACAACUGUAUCCCUUAGUAAGCAGUGUUAAAACAUUAUUCGUGUUUACUUACAAAAAAUAUAUCAAAAAUAACUUUAUCAUUCACAUUUUAUUUAGUGUUACUGUUUUGGGUUGUUAGGCAUUCUAAAUAUCAUUCCAGGCUGAAUGAUGAAUAGAUGAAGGUACUAUAUAUAGUACCUUUUGUACAUU